rnacentral:rRNA from 1 species
GACGUAGGGCGCGAGCGUUGUCCGGAUUUAUUGGGCGUAAAGAGCUCGUAGGCGGUUUGUCGCGUCUGCCGUGAAAGUCCGGGGCUCAACUCCGGAUCUGCGGUGGGUACGGGCAGACUAGAGUGAUGUAGGGGAGACUGGAAUUCCUGGUGUAGCGGUGAAAUGCGCAGAUAUCAGGAGGAACACCGAUGGCGAAGGCAGGUCUCUGGGCAUUAACUGACGCUAAGACUCGAAAGCUGGGGGAGCAAACAGG